GCCGGGCUAGCUCAAUCGGUAGAGCGUGUGGCUCUUAGUCACUGCAAAGCGCAGUGGUAAUGGGUCUACCACAAGGUUGCGGGUUCGACCCCCGCGUUCGGCU
rnacentral:tRNA from 1 species